rnacentral:rRNA from 1 species
AGCGGAGGAAAAGAAACUAACAAGGAUUCCCCUAGUAACUGCGAGUGAAGCGGGAAGAGCUCAAAUUUAAAAUCUAAUAGUCUAUGACUGUUCGAGUUGUAAUCUAGAGAAGCACUAUCCGUGCUGGACCAUGUAUAAGUCUCCUGGAAUGGGGCGUCAUAGAGGGUGAGAAUCCCGUCUUUGACAUGGACUACCAGUGCAUUGUGAUGUGCUCUCAACGAGUCGAGUUGUUUGGGAAUGCAGCUCUAAAUGGGUGGUAAAUUCCAUCUAAAGCUAAAUAUUGGCGAGAGACCGAUAGCGAACAAGUACCGUGAGGGAAAGAUGAAAAGAACUUUGAAAAGAGAGUUAAACAGUACGUGAAAUUGUUGAAAGGGAAACGCUUAAAGUCAGUCACAUUGAUCAGGGAUCAACCUUGCUUUUGCUUGGUGUAUUUUCUGAUCAAUGGGUCAGCAUCAAUUUUAAUCAGUGGACAAAGGCUGAGGGAAUGUGGCAUCAUUUGAUGUGUUAUAGCCCUCUGUCAUAUACAUUGGUUGGGAUUGAGGAACUCAGCAUGCCGCAAGGCCGGGUUUUAACCACGUUCAUGCUUAGGAUGCUGGCAUAAUGGCUUUAAUCGACCCGUCUUGAA